AUUGAACGCUGGCGGCAGGCCUAACACAUGCAAGUCGAGCGAGCGACGGACGGGUGAGUAAUGUCUGGGAAACUGCAUGAUGGAGGGGGAUAACAACUGGAAACGGUAGCUAAUACCGCACAUCAUCAGAUGUGCUCAGAUGUGAGUAGCGAGUAGGUGGGGUAACGGCUCACCUAGGCGACGAUCCCUAGCUGGUCUGAGAGGAUGACCCGCCACACUGGAACUGAGACACGGUCCAGACUCCUACGGGAGGCAGCAGUGGGGAAUAUUGCACAAUGGGCGAAAGCCUGAUGCAGCCAUGCCGCGUGUGUGAAGAAGGCCUUCGGGUUGUAAAGCACUUUCAGCGGGGAGGCGUUACCCGCAGAAGAAGCACCGGCUAACUCCGUGCCAGCAGCCGCGGUAAUAC
rnacentral:rRNA from 1 species